AACUUUCGGCAAUGGAUCACUUGGCUCUCACAUCGAUGAAGAACGCAGCGAAAUGCGAUAAGUAAUGUGAAUUGCAGAUUUUCAGUGAAUCAUCGAAUCUUUGAACGCACCUUGCGCCCCUUGGUAUUCCGAGGGGCAUGCCUGUUUGAGUGUCAUCAAAUCCUCAACCCCCUCCGAUUUGUUUCGGUGGGGAUUGGACUUGGAGCGUGCUGGCGAAGGUCGGCUCCUCUUUAAAUGCAUCAGCGGAGAAAAUGCCUUUUGCGCCUCUGGCCGUUCAGCGUGAUAAUGACGUUGCGCUGCGGUCGAGCUCAAGGUCCGCUUCCAAAGGUCCUCGGACGAACGUAAACAUGACUUUUGACCUCAAAUCAGGUAGGACUACCCGCUGAACUUAAGCAUAUCAAUAAGCGGAGGC
rnacentral:misc_RNA from 1 species